CUUGCAAUAUUUCUAAUCAGGCAAGACUAGAGGUGAUGAACUCCCUCCGAUUGUUUGUUGGGAAAGCGUUGACCUCAUCUUCACUUCUGAAGAACAAGUUUGCAGGAGAAAGAAACUGACAACAGAGAGCCUGAGGAAAUUUCCUAAGUUUACAUGUGAAUAAACGCGAGAACUUGCAUUUGAACUCAGAGAAAGAGAAGUAUCGAUGUGAGAGAGAGACAUCAGUGGGUUCCCUCCCCCAUGUGCCCCAACGUGGGAUCAAACCUGCAACCUAGGUAAGUGCCCUGACUGGGAAUCGAACCCACAGCUUUUUGUGUAUGAAAUGACACUCCAACCAAAUGAA